GCGGGGAUAGCAAAGCCUGGUCAAACUUUAGUGGGAUUUACACUAGGGGGCUGGAUGCGCAGGACUUAAGAUCCUGUCACUUAGUGUGUUCGAGGGUUCAAAUCCCUUUCCCCGCA
rnacentral:tRNA from 1 species